CAGUCUCUCCGGCCCUAUGAACUAGAAGAGGGCACUCUUCCAGUUGGUGUAGAUUCUGGUGUGAAAUGGUAUCUUGGGGACCAUCUAGAUAGGGAUUGCCCAAUAGGAAGAAACGCUGGGGAAACCUGGAAGGUCAAGACAUUGGCCCUAACAUAAUGCUAGACACAUGGCUUGUUUGGGAAUUUGGUGGGGGACAGGAAUGCUGCUUUGUCUAAGCCAAGGAGAGAGGUGUGUGUGUGUGUGUGUGUGUGUGUGUGUGUGUGUGUGUGCGUGUGUUCUGGGUCUAUGACCCUAAGAGGUGUUUUCUAUACACCAGUGUGUCUCUGUGUGCAAAAGUGUUUGUGCCUGCAACUGGGCUACUAUGGAUGUGAAAUCGUGUGGGCGUGUUGGGGGAUCCAUGCCCACGACAGGUUGUGCUGUGUGUGUCUGCACACGAGUGUGAGCAAGUGGCUGGUGCUGUGAUGUGUGUAUGUACAUGUGUAAGAGACAGAGAGAAGUCUAGAAGUAUCUUUGCCCAUGUAAAGGUCAGAGCCUGUGUCUGCCUGUGACGCUGGGCUUGACUGUGUUCAUGACUGGGCAUGUGAGUGUGUGUGUGCGUGCGUGCGUGUGUGUGAGUGUGUGUGUGUGUGUGUACGUGCGCGCGCAUGCCUUCAUGACAGUGUGGGGAAAGCCCCACAGAUGUCUUUGUGCAUGAAUAUCAGUGCUCAUGGCCAUGACCUGAUUGUGCUUGUAAGGAGGAGAGUGAGCCUCAAGUCCAUAGCUGUGUGAGGGCUGUGUCUGAGUCCGCCUGUGAUCCUGUCCCCAGGUGCUGGGCCCAGGGCUGUGUGGCUGUGAAUAUCUUUGCAGACAUCUACCUGUGGGUAUGAAUGACACCUGAGCUUGGGUGUUUGGUGGGCAGCCAUGGGCCUGGAGGGAAGGUCCAACAGGAAGCAAAAGUCUCACAAGGUGGCUGCAGGGGGCACAGCUGGCCAGGGAUGGCAAGCUAGAGAGGCAGGGGCACAGGCUUCCUUGACACCAGCUUGUCCUGUCUGUCCAGGCACUAGAGUCACUGGCCCUUCUCUCUGAGGUUGUUUUUCUUUGGUCUUGGAGCUGGGGUGGAGGGUGAGUCACCUUCUCAGGGUUAGGGCUGGGGCUGUAGGGUAGAUGGGCCUCUGAUUCCUGAUCCCAUUUCUGCCCCCACUCCCCAACCCAGCCCCCCGCCUGGCAGUCAGAUUCCAGUACUUUGAGCAUCUAAGCCCAUCUUGGCCUGCCCUCUUUGGCCCACCCAGCUCAUGCAUUCCCCAGGAAGGAUUUACAGGGGAAGUCAUGUAGCUGGGAUUUCUGUCCACGGAGCCAGGGGAUGGCACAGGAAAGGUGACUUAUCACAGAGGAGGAUGCAGCUAACAAACCCUUCCAGGGAAAAGGAAGUGGGAAAAAGGAAGAUUUUUCUGGUCUCAGAAUGUGAUGAGCCAGGAGUUGAGCAGAACCUUUUCCACCGGCUCCAUCUGACCUAAAUCGCAAAGAGCUGGCUGCCCCACUCCUGCCAAGCCAACCUGCUUGCACUUCCAAACCUCGCCCCAAACACUCCCACUCUUCUGGAGCCAGGCCAUCUGCAUUCACAUCUGGCUUUUUCAUGUACUACCUGGGUAACUAGGGCAAGUUAACCUCUGCAAGCCUCAGUUUCCUCAUCUGUAAAAUGAGUGUAAUGAUUGCCUCUAUUUCAUAGGGUUUUGAAAAUGAUUGAGUGAAUACUUCUUAGAAUGAUACCUUGCAUA
rnacentral:lncRNA from 1 species